AGUAACACGUAAACAACCUGCCUUCAGGAUGGGGACAACAGACGGAAACGACUGCUAAUACCGAAUACGAUUCUUGAGUCGCAUGACACAAGAAAGAAAGGGUGGCCUCUACUAGUAAGCUAUCGCCUGAAGAGGGGUUUGCGUCCGAUUAGGUAGUUGGUGAGGUAACGGCCCACCAAGCCGACGAUCGGUAGCCGGUCUGAGAGGAUGAACGGCCACAUUGGAACUGAGACACGGUCCAGACUCCUACGGGAGGCAGCAGUG
rnacentral:rRNA from 1 species